GUCAUGUCAACAUCUGAACGAUA
rnacentral:siRNA from 1 species